AUGGGAAAAGGUUUCUACAUCAGCAAGCACCUGGCCAUAGCAGCUGUACUGCUGGCUGCAGCAGCUUUAGCCACCAUCGUAGCGUUAUCUAUAGUUUACUCUAAAGAAAAGGCCAAAAAGUCACAUCAGGUCAGCGAUGGACCAACAUCACGCAUGCCUCCCACUACACCACUAUCUAAUGAGCCCUGGGACAAAUACAGACUCCCCAACACCCUGAAGCCUCAGUUUUACAAUAUAAGUCUGUGGCCGAGGCUCAGCAUAGACGCUAAGGGUAUGUACGUUUUCACCGGCAGUUCUGGAGUAGCUUUCACAUGUGAGAAAGAGACGGAUCUGAUCAUCAUUCACUGCCACAAGCUCAACCUGACUCUUUUUGAUGGACGCCACGCAAAGCUAACAGGCAUGCAGGGAGCAACGGCUCCAGCCAUCAAGAAAACUUGGUUCCAGUUGGAAACGCAAUACUUGGUGGUUCAGCUGAAGGGGAGGCUAAAGCCAGGAAAAGCCUACUGGCUUUAUACCGAGUUCAGAGGAGAGCUGACGGAUGACCUGCAGGGAUUCUACAGGAGCGAGUAUGAAGAGGACGGGGUAAAAAAGUACGGCGUUUUUGAUGACAUUAGCAAAAGUGAAAUUUCAUCUCACAAAAACCUUCAAAUGGAUGGAAUUGAUGUUAUUAAAACUGUAUUUGAGCCCACAAAGACGAUGUCUACAUAUCUGGUCGCGUUUGUUGUCAGUGACUUUACUUACACCAGCAAACAAACAGACAGCAAGGAUCUAAACGGUUUUAUUAAUCAUGUUCUUUUCUGGAAGGUUCGUAUUUGGGCAAGACAAAAGGCUAUUGGAGAAGGUCAAGGUGACUAUGCCCUGAGCAUCACCCAGCCAAUACUGAAGUUCUUUGAGAAGUAUUACAGCACCAACUAUCCACUCUCUAAAUCAGACCAGAUUGCACUGCCUGACUUUAAUGCUGGAGCCAUGGAAAACUGGGGUCUCGUCACCUACAGGGAAACGUCUCUGCUCUAUGAUCCCAAAACCUCGGCCAACGGCAACAAGCAGAGAAUUGUGAUUGUGGUUUCUCAUGAGCUCGCUCAUAUGUGGUUUGGAAACCUGGUGACUCUGAAGUGGUGGAACGACUUGUGGCUAAACGAGGGAUUUGCUUCAUAUGUGGAGUACCUUGGUGCAGACUAUGCAGAGCCAACCUGGAACAUUAAAGAUCAGAUCAUACUGUAUGAUAUUUACCGCGCGUUUGCUGUGGAUAGCCUGGUCUCCUCUCACCCGCUGUCCUGCAAAGAGGAGGAGGUCAACAAGCCAGCGGAGAUCAGCCAAAUGUUCAACACCAUAUCUUACAGCAAGGGGGCUGCGGUGCUCAGGAUGCUCUCUGAAUUCCUGACUGAGCCGAUCUUCGCUAAGGGGCUCAGUACGUACCUGAACCAGUUUGCUUAUGGGAACUCUGUGUAUUCAGAUCUGUGGGAUCAUCUUCAGAAGGCCGUAGAGAAAACCCCACAUCUGAAGCUGCCGCACAGAGUGCAUGACAUCAUGAAUCGCUGGAUUCUGCAGAUGGGUUUCCCAGUGGUCACCAUUGACACCCAAACAGGAAAUGUGAGCCAGAAGCACUUCCUGUUGGAGCCAAACUCUGUGGUGGAAAGACCGUCUGAGUUCAAUUAUGAGUGGUUUAUACCAAUCAAGUGGAUGAAGAAAGGGGUAGAACAAGAUCAGCUGUGGCUUCUUCAGAAAUCAGCUAUGCACAAACCUAUGAAAGUCAGCAGAGGUGAUUGGGUUUUGGCCAACACUAAUGUUUCUGGAUACUACAGAGUCAACUACGACCCUGAGAACUGGGAGCGCCUCCUGAAACAACUGAGCUCCAACCAUCAGGUAAUACCACUGAUAAACAGAGCCCAGAUACUGGAUGAUGCCUUUAACCUGGCUAGGGCAUCCAUCAUUAACAUAACUCUCGCUCUGAGAACCACCAAAUAUCUCUCGCUGGAGAGAGAGUAUAUUCCAUGGGAGGCGGCUCUGAGAAGUCUCAACUCAUUAUUCCUCCUGUUUGAUCGCAGUGAAGUUUAUGGGCCCAUGCAGGCCUACCUCAGAAAACAGGUCAAGCCUCUGUUUGAUUAUUUUGCCAGUGUUACUGAAAACUGGGCGACUGUGUUCUCACAGAUCAUCGCACUGUCACUGGCGUGUAAAACCGGGGUGCAGGGCUGCCGUGAACUCACCAAAACCUGGUUCAGACAAUGGAUGCAGGAUCCUAAUAAUAAUGAGAUUCACCCCAACCUGAGGUCCACAGUGUACUGCUAUGCUAUAGCUACUGGAGGAGUAGAGGAGUGGGACUUCACCUGGAAGAUGUUCAAGAAAGCGACAGUAGCAGCCGAAGCGGUUAAACUGCGCGCAGCUUUGUCCUGCACCAGAGAGCCCUGGUUACUCAACAGAUUCCUUGAAUACACUUUGGAUCCUAAUAAGAUCCGGAAGCAGGAUGCCACUUCCACAAUCGGAGCCAUCGCUAGUAACGUUGUUGGUCAGCCUCUGGCCUGGAACUUCGUCCGGGCGAGAUGGGAGUACCUGUUCAAAGAGUAAG
ensembl:lncRNA